AGUAGAGGGUACAUAACAGUAUUUUCCGUAUGUUUAACCUGCGGAAGGAUCAUUGUCGUGACCCUGACCAAAAUAGACCGUGCACGCGUCAUCCAGCCUGCCGGCGGCGGCACCGUUCGUCGCUCGGCCAAGUCCUCGACAACCUCCUCUCCUCGGAGUGGGGGCUCGGGGUAAAAGAACCCACGACGCCUAAGGCGUCAAGGAACACUGUGCCUAGCCCGGGGACGCGGACGGCUUGCUGGCCGCCCCCCGUGCUGCAAUGCUAUUUAAUCCACACGACUCUCGGCAACGGAUAUCUCGGCUCUCGCAUCGAUGAAGAACGUAGCGAAAUGCGAUACCUGGUGUGAAUUGCAGAAUCCCGCGAACCAUCGAGUCUUUGAACGCAAGUUGCGCCCGAGGCCAUUCGGCUGAGGGCACGCCUGCCUGGGCGUCACGCAAAACACGCUCCCACACCCUCAUCGGGUAGCGGGACGCGGCAUGUGGUCCCCCGUAGCGCAAGCUGCGGUGGGCCGAAGAUAUGGCUGCCGGCGUAUCGUGCCGGACACAGCGCGUGGUGGGCGACCUCGCUUUACUUACCGCAGUGCAUCCGGGGCGUAGCCGACGUGAUGGCCUCUAAGGACCCUUUGAACGGUGCGCACGACGCUCCGACCGCGACCCCAGGUCAGGCGGGACUACCCGCUGAAUUUAAGCAUAUCAAUAAGCGGAGGAGGUCAUAGUGGUUUUCCUGA
rnacentral:rRNA from 1 species